AACAAGAAAAAAAAGCCAUUUACAGGGGUGAUGUGCAACUAAUUAAAGGCAGACUGGCAGCGUCUGCAAAUUCUAAGGCUCCCCAAAUAAAAAGACUGUUGUAACAGUUGGAGGAUAAUGCAAAGGAAGACGCUGCCUGGGAAUUCACCGUCUGUGGAAAUGCGCCCCAGAGAGGAAUAAAGCAGUCCUCACCUUGCUCUCCCU